CACACAUAUCUGCUUACCCUAAGGAAAAUAAGAAUUCUUCAAAUGUAUGAGAAGAACUGGGUCUGAGAAACUGCUCUGUUAAAACUCCAUCAUUCUCCUACAGCAGCAAUGUGAAUUCAAGAGAAAGACAGCAGAACAAAAAAUCAGAAGCAAGAAAAACUAAAGAGUUAUAAAAGACAACCAGGAGUACAUUGUCAUAAUCUAAAACAGGGUCCCAUUCAGGAUAUCAUAUUAACCUAAUUUCAGAUCCACGGAGACUCCUCUUGGCUGUUACAGUUUUUCUUCAUUUUUAUGACCUUGGCAGUCUUAAGAAUGUACCUCAAGUGGGAACUGUAUCAUGUUUUCCUCAUGAUUAAACUGAGGCUGUGGAUUUUGGCAGGAAGACCACAGAGAACCCUUGGGGAAAAGAACAAAAAUCACAACAAAAAUCAGAAGUAACAUCUUACUACCACUGGCAGAAUGAAAGAUCAUCAUCUCUAACUUCAGAAUUUGGAAGAAAGUGGCUGAGUUUGAUUUGCUAUACAUGGAGAAUCGGAAUUAGAGAUGUUCUCUCUCCCAGUAUCUGUGUGAAAAUAGAUGGAAAAACACUAAAAUGGGCUGCUGUGAGUCUAGUUGUGAGUCUAGCUGUGAAAUAAUUGCAAAAGUGACAGAGACACAUCCUUGGGAACAAGUAAGCAGGCAUGUAUAUUGAGGGACACAAUUUAAGAA